UACGAAGGGGGCUAGCGUUGUUCGGGAUCACUGGGCGUAAAGCGCACGUAGGCGGAUCUUUAAGUCAGGGGUGAAAUCCCGAGGCUCAACCUCGGAACUGCCUUUGAUACUGGAGAUCUCGAGUCCGGGAGAGGUGAGUGGAACUGCGAGUGUAGAGGUGAAAUUCGUAGAUAUUCGCAAGAACACCAGUGGCGAAGGCGGCUCACUGGCCCGGUACUGACGCUGAGGUGCGAAAGCGUGGGGAGCAAACAGG
rnacentral:rRNA from 1 species